rnacentral:rRNA from 1 species
UACGUAGGGGGCAAGCGUUGUCCGGAUUUAUUGGGCGUAAAGAGCGUGUAGGCGGCCUGAAAGGUCAGCUGUGAAAACUCGAGGCUCAACCUCGAGACGUCGGUUGAAACCAUCUGGCUAGAGUCCGGAAGAGGAGUGUGGAAUUCCCGGUGUAGCGGUGAAAUGCGCAGAUAUCGGGAAGAACACCCGUGGCGAAGGCAGAUCUCUGGGCCGUAACUGACGCUGAGGAGCGAAAGCAUGGGGAGCGAACAGG